rnacentral:rRNA from 1 species
UGGGGAAUAUUGCACAAUGGGCGCAAGCCUGAUGCAGCCAUGCCGCGUGUAUGAAGAAGGCCUUCGGGUUGUAAAGUACUUUCAGUGGGGAGGAAGGCGAUAAGGUUAAUAACCUUGUCGAUUGACGUUACCCGCAGAAGAAGCACCGGCUAACUCCGUGCCAGCAGCCGCGGUAAUACGGAGGGUGCAAGCGUUAAUCGGCAUUACUGGGCGUAAAGCGCACGCAGGCGGUCUGUCAAGUCGGAUGUGAAAUCCCCGGGCUCAACCUGGGAACUGCAUUCGAAACUGGCAGGCUAGAGUCUUGUAGAGGGGGGUAGAAUUCCAGGUGUAGCGGUGAAAUGCGUAGAGAUCUGGAGGAAUACCGGUGGCGAAGGCGGCCCCCUGGACAAAGACUGACGCUCAGGUGCGAAAGCGUGGGGAGCAAACA